rnacentral:rRNA from 1 species
AUGCUACACGCGCCGCCGCCGCUGGAGGCGGCCGGGUCGCUCGUCGCGCAUAACCGCUGCCUCCUCCGCGACCUCGGCGGCCAUGGCGCGGUGUCGGCCGACCCCUCCGCGCUCUACGACGCCGACGCGGCCACCACCCGGUUCCUCCUCGAGAGGAUUCUGCGGGAGAGCGGCACCGCGCGCCGCCUCCUGACUUGCUCCUCCUCUCCGGGGUCCUCGUCGACGGACGCAGUGGACACCGAGUCGAAGGAGCCCGAGGACCCGGCGAAUUCCGCCCCUGGCCUCCUUCCUGUCUCAGGCGCGAAGGAUCGAGCCGACCGCGCCUCCGCAGCUAGCGGUCCAGGCACUUCGCCCGCCACCGCUCUCAACCAGCCCCUCGAAUCAACGGAGCAAGUCCCCGCCAGCCGCCUGUCUGCUCUUCUAGGGCCGAAUGGUCGCGUCCUGAUCGUGGCCAAUCGGCUCCCCGUCACGGCCAAGCGCCACCCGGUUAAGAAGUGGGAAUAUCCAAGCAGCUCUGGCGGUCUCGUCAGCGCCCUGCAAGGUGUUAAAGAUGUGCAGAUGAUGUGGGUCGGCUGGCCUGGCGUCAGUGUCCCCAAUAAGACCGAUCAAAAAUUAAUCACCGAGGGACUAUUCAAGCGAAGGUGCGUGCCUGUGUUCCUGGAUGAGGAGUUGAUGGACCAGUACUACAGCGGGUAUUGCAACAAAAUUCUCUGGCCACUCUUCCAUUACUUGGGGCUCCAGCAAGAGUACAAGAUCAAUAAGGCAAAAGACAUCAAGUCACAGUAUGAAAAGUAUACUUAA